UGGUCAUUACCAAGGCUUUUAGAAUGCAGUUUCUCAUUUGCUGUGGACAUGACCAUAAAGAAAAAUUCCCAUGAGGUUUUUCAUAUGCUACUACCUGUUGGGAACAUGG
ensembl:snoRNA